UUAUAUAUAAUAAUAUGCAUAUGGAUAUGCCAUGAUGCAAUCUAAAACUCAACCAUAUCAUAGUAUUUCAAAUAUAUAAAGGAAAUUGUUAUUGGCAUGAAAUGCAUAAUUCAAUUUAAAAGCGUUUGUGAAACUAUCAGUUAUAUAUAUAUGAUAAAAAAAAGGAAAUACCCACUCACCUGAGGUCUGCCCUACAACUCCCUAACACGAAUAUCAAGACAUCACGAACGACCAUCACCUAGAACAAAUAUUCAAUCACGUCACAUAACUCUUAUCAAUAAAACACGUAACUUACAUAAAACACAUCCCAAGGACAUUCUAGAAUGAUUUGAGACCCCUUUGACCAAAAGUCAUUCGUUGGUCAAAAAUCAACGGUUGGGUCCAUAACCCUACAUAACUAAAUUCAAAAGAUCUGCAUCUCAGAUUUCCAAUUUGUAACUUUUAAAGAUACACAUUAUACUUUUAGGACAUCAUACUAAAGUUUCAUUAUGAUCCAACGGUUGGAUCUCCGCCAAUUGCCAAUUCAAGGGGAGGUCAACGUUAUAUUUUACAAACUUACAAAUCCAAUUUGGGAAGAUCCAUAUGUCGGAAUCCCAAUCAGUAAGGUUCUAAUAUCCUCAAAUAUUACGUACUAUAAUGUAUUAAAGUUUGGUAUCCAACGGUUGGAUCGUCAAUUCACAUAAUGUUCAAGUAGCGGUCUUUAACCAAACUAUGUUCAAACGAUUAGAUUUCAACAAUUAGACUACACAUAUGGAAUUGGGGUGUCAAAAUUAGCUUAGGAAGGUCAAGGGGUGACCCAGCUCACGUGCUGCCGUCACGCGGCGCCGCACACGGCGGUCAACUGCCCAGAUUCACCAGGAAAUUCAACUAUCUCCAAAAAUUCUCAAAUUCUAUAAAAACGAAGAUCUCCAAGAGUAGAGUAAGUUUUAUACCUAUGGCCAAGUCUAAUUUGGCCGGGAAAGGCUCCAAUUUCACUCAAACCCGGCGGAACCUAAAAUGGGUGAACUUCAAUUCUCCUUCCUCGGUGUUCCAACGUCUCUACCACUAGUUGGGUCUUGUUCCUGGGUCUAAGGGAAGUUGAUUAAGGGUGGUGAUGGGUGGUGAAACUCAUCGGAACAGCGAAUCGUCGUCAAGAACUUCUGAGUUCUCCAGUACGGUUCUACUUAAAAUUGGCCUUAAAAACCCUUGAAUUUGAGCAAAUAUGGUAGAUGAGAGGUUGUAGAAUAAGUUGUAGGUGGUGGAGGGGUGAGAAUGGCCUGAAAAAUGGUGGAGAUUGGCCAGAAUUCGUCCGGGUUGAAGUUGGGUUUGUGGGUGCAGGGGUUGACGGGAAAGGGUGGUUCUUUCUCACCCAUCCUGAUUUCUAAUUGGUCCUUAGUUCCAUUUAAAUUGAUUGGUCCUUCAUUCCCUUGUUGAAAGCUCAUUGGCUUCCUUCCUAGAAGAUGGGAGCUCAAAUUAUUUAACUAACUUUAAAUAAUCAAUUUCAAAGGUCUGUAACUAUACAUUUCUAUCCAAACUCACAAUACAUUUCUAUCCAAACUCACAAACAGUUUUUGCCUACAUGUUCAUAGCUUCAAAAUCUAUUCGGAAACAUUAAUUGUGACUUCGAAUGGUCAACGAAAGUCAAACAUCCUUGCCUCUGAGGGCAUUUUCGUAAAAUCACUACUUUAAAUUUUAUAAAACUUAAAAUUUGGGACGAGAUGUCACAAUUUUAAAGUUAACAAAUGACCAAGUAAACUUACAAAAUAUAAAAUAAGUCUAAACCUAUAAUUUUAAAGUUAUAAAAUAAUCCCUAACACUAAUAUGUUAAUGCUAACAUUAUAAAAAAAAAACCCUAAACUUACAAAAUUCAAACAGAAAAUUAUAAAGUUAACAACUUAACAAAUUUAAGUAAUUUAAAUAAAAUUUGUUAACAUAUUAACAAAUUGAAUAAAUUGAAAAUUAAAUGAAAUUUGCAAAAAAAUUAUGAAAUUUAAAAUUUUAACCCUACCCAACCCUCACCCCGUAC
rnacentral:lncRNA from 1 species